UCCGGAUUUAUUGGGCUUAAAGGGGGCGUAGGCGGCUUUGUAAGUCAGUGGUGAAAUAUGGCAGCUCAACUGUCAGGGUGCCAUUGAUACUGCGGAGCUUGAGUACAGAUGAGGUAGGCGGAAUUGACGGUGUAGCGGUGAAAUGCUUAGAUAUCGUCAAGAACACCGAUAGCGAAGGCAGCUUACUAGGCUGUAACUGACGCUGAGGCACGAAAGUGUGGGGAUCAAACAGG
rnacentral:rRNA from 1 species